AUUGAACGCUGGCGGCAUGCUUUACACAUGCAAGUCGAACGGCAGCGCGGGCUUCGGCCUGGCGGCGAGUGGCGAACGGGUGAGUAAUAUAUCGGAACGUACCCAGGAGUGGGGGAUAACGUAGCGAAGGUUACGCUAAUACCGCAUACGUCCUAAGGGAGAAAGCGGGGGAUCGCAAGACCUCGUGCUCAUGGAGCGGCCGAUAUCUGAUUAGCUAGUUGGUGGGGUAAAGGCUCACCAAGGCAACGAUCAGUAGCUGGUCUGAGAGGACGACCCGCCACACUGGAACUGAGGCACGGUCCAGACUCCGACGGGGGGGAGCAGUGGGGAAUUUUGGACAAAGGGGGCAACCCUGAUCCAGCAAUGCCGCGGGAGUGAAGAAGGCCUUCGGGUUGUAAAGCUCUUUUGUCAGGGAAGAAACGACUCCUUCUAAUACAGGGGGUUAAUGACGGUACCUGAAGAAUAAGCACCGGCUAACUACGUGCCAGCCGCCGCCGUAACAC
rnacentral:rRNA from 1 species